UGGCUCUACGGAAUAACUCAGGGAAACUUGAACUAAUACCGUAUACGUCCUUCGGGAGAAAGAUUUAUCGGAGUUAGAUGAGCCCAUGUCUGAUUAGCUAGUUGGUGAGGUAAAGGCUCACCAAGGCGACGAUCAGUAGCUGGUCUGAGAGGAUGAUCAGCCACACUGGGACUGAGACACGGCCCAGACUCCUACGGGAGGCAGCAGUGGGGAAUAUUGGACAAUGGGCGCAAGCCUGAUCCAGCCAUGCCGCGUGAGUGAUGAAGGCCCUAGGGUUGUAAAGCUCUUUCACCGGUGAAGAUAAUGACGGUAACCGGAGAAGAAGCCCCGGCUAACUUCGUGCCAGCAGCCGCGGUAAUACGAAGGGGGCUAGCGUUGUUCGGAAUUACUGGGCGUAAAGCGCGCGUAGGCGGAUCGGUCAGUUAGGGGUGAAAUCCCGGGGCUCAACCCCGGAACUGCCUCUAAUACUGCCGAUCUAGAGUUCGAGAGAGGUGAGUGGAAUUCCGAGUGUAGAGGUGAAAUUCGUAGAUAUUCGGAGGAACACCAGUGGCGAAGGCGGC
rnacentral:rRNA from 1 species